CCUACGGGAGGCAGCAGUGGGGAAUAUUGCACAAUGGGGGGAACCCUGAUGCAGCGACGCCGCGUGGAGGAAGAAGGUCUUCGGAUUGUAAACUCCUGUUGUUGAGGAAUGAUAAUGACGGUACUCAACAAGGAAGUGACGGCUAACUACGUGCCAGCAG
rnacentral:rRNA from 1 species